rnacentral:lncRNA from 14 species
ACAAGCUUCAUGUUUAUGGAAAGGGUUUUUAACACUGAGCCACACCCCUAACACCAACACCGACAUUUUAAAUAGAACAAUAGAAGGCGAAGAUAGCUAAAAAGCAAAAGAACAAGAAGAUACUAAGGACCUACCUCCCUUCUACUAGAACCUCC